AGCCUGAUGCAGCCAUGCCGCGUGAUUGAUGAAGGCCCUUAGGGUUGUAAAGAUCUUUCAACAGUGAAGAUAAUGACGGUAACUGUAGAAGAAGCUCCGGCUAACUCCGUGCCAGCAGCCGCGGUAAUACGGAGGGAGCUAGCGUUGUUCGGAAUUACUGGGCGUAAAGCGCGCGUAGGCGGAUUAUUAAGUCAGAGGUGAAAUCCCGGGGCUCAACCCCGGAACUGCCUUUGAUACUGGUAGUCUAGAGGUCGAGAGAGGUGAGUGGAAUUCCGAGUGUAGAGGUGAAAUUCGUAGAUAUUCGGAGGAACACCAGUGGCGAAGGCGGCUCACUGGCUCGAUACUGACGCUGAGGUGCGAAAGUGUGGGUAGCAAACAGGAUUAGAUACCCUGGUAGUCCACACCGUAAACGAUGAAUGCUAGUCGUCAGGGGACUUGUCCUUUGGUGACGCAGCUAACGCAUUAAGCAUUCCGCCUGGGGAGUACGGUCGCAAGAUUAAAACUCAAAGAAUUUGACGGGUU
rnacentral:rRNA from 1 species